AUGCAUCUUCAAGAGAAUGAUGAUGAUAAGAAAAAUCUGUAUAAGCUCAGGUAUACGUUAAGAUUUCGUCAAUUCUUCUCUGAUUUCGUUUCUGUUAUGCUUACCACUCAAGCAUUCAUCGUUAUUGUUGUGUUUGCGAGGUUGAAUAUGGAAGAUGAAGAUGAGAGGAGAAGAAAUAGUAUUUUUGGUGAUUCUUCCAAAAAUAGGAGAAUGAACGUGAUGGUGAUGAAGAGUGAAGAUUGGGAGAGGAAGGAGAGAGAAUUUUGGAGAGUGGUCCUUCUAUAG